rnacentral:rRNA from 1 species
AAUGGCCUAACGGCUGAACUGGCAACUUGGAAAAGUGAUAAGUCCAAAAUAGGAUUGAAUUCAAAAGAAUGAAACUUUGUUUAUAUAUUGAUAAUGACAAUAUAUAUAUUUUGUCUUGACCAAUUACGUGCCAGCAGUCGCGGUAAUACGUAAGAGACUAGUGUUAUUCAUCAUAAUUAGGUUUAAAGGGUACCUAGACGGUCAAUAUAGCAUGUAAAAUGUAACUACUUGACUAGAGUUUUAUAGAAGAGGGCAGAACUUGCGGAGGAGAGAUAAAAUUUCGUUAUACCAAAAGGACUGGUAAAGGUGAAGACAGCCCUUUAUUUAAAAACUGACGUUGAGGGACGAAGGCAUAGGUAACAAAAAGGAUUAGAUACCCCAGUAGUCUUUGCAGUAAAUUAUGAAUGCCAUAGGUCAGAUUUAUUUUUGGUUUAUAAAUGAAAGUGUAAGCAUUCCACCUCAAGAGUAAUGUGGCAACGCAGGAACUGAAAUCACUAGACCGUUUCUGACACCAGUAGUGAAGUAUGUUGUUUAAUUCGAUGAUCCACGAAAAACCUUACCGCGGUUUGUAUAUAUUUGAUAUACAGGAGUUGCACGGCUGUUUUCAGUUAAUGUUGUGAAACUGUGGUUUCCAUGGAAUUAACGUAAUCCCUGACUUUA